GACGUCGAUAUUGGACGUCAUAAACACGAUCAACUUUGGUGUUUAUGACGUCGAUAUUCGACGUCAUAAACACGGUCAACUUUGGUGUUUAUGGCGUCGAUAUUCGACGUCAUAAACACGAUAAACUUAGAUGUUUAUGACGUCGAUAUUCGACGUCAUAAACACGAUCAACUUUGGUGUUUAUGACGUCGAUAUUAGACGUCAUAAACACGAUCAACUUUGGUGUUUAUGACGUCGAUAUUCGACGUC
rnacentral:miRNA from 1 species